GACGAACGCUGGCGGCGUGCUUAACACAUGCAAGUCGAACGAUGAAGCUGGAGCUUGCUCCGGCGGAUUAGUGGCGAACAGGUGAGUAACACGUGAGCAAUCUGCCCUUCACUCUGGGAUAACUGCGGGAAACUGUAGCUAAUACCGGAUACGAAGCCUUGUGGCAUCCCGGGGCUUGGCAAGAAUUUCGGUGAAGGAUGAGCUCGCGGCCUAUCAGCUAGUUGGUGAGGUAAUGGCUCACCAAGGCGACGACGGGUAGCCGGCCUGAGAGGGUGACCGGCCACACUGGGACUGAGACACGGCCCAGACUCCUACGGGAGGCAGCAGUGGGGAAUAUUGCACAAUGGGCGAAAGCCUGAUGCAGCAACGCCGCGUGAGGGAUGAAGGCCUUCGGGUUGUAAACCUCUUUUAGUAGGGAAGAAGCGAAAGUGACGGUACCUACAGAAAAAGCACCGGCUAACUACGUGCCAGCCGCCGCAGUAA
rnacentral:rRNA from 1 species